rnacentral:rRNA from 1 species
GACAGAGGAUGCAAGCGUUAUCCGGAAUGAUUGGGCGUAAAGCGUCUGUAGGUGGCUUUUAAGUCCGCCGUCAAAUCCCAGGGCUCAACCCUGGACAGGCGGUGGAAACUACCAAGCUGGAGUACGGUAGGGGCAGAGGGAAUUUCCGGUGGAGCGGUGAAAUGCGUAGAGAUCGGAAAGAACACCGAUGGCGAAGGCACUUUACUGGGCUAUUACUAACACUGAGAGACGAAAGCUAGGGUAGCAAACGGG